CGGGUGAGUAAUGUAUGGGGAUCUGCCUGAUGGCGGGGGAUAACUACUGGAAACGGUAGCUAAUACCGCAUAAUGUCUGCGGACCAAAGCGGGGGACCUCCGGGCCUCGCGCCAUCAGAUGAACCAUAUGGGAUUAGCUAGUAGGUAAGGUAACGGCUUACCUAGGCGACGAUCCCUAGCUGGUCUGAGAGGAUGAUCAGCCACACUGGGACUGAGACACGGCCCAG
rnacentral:rRNA from 1 species